rnacentral:tRNA from 1 species
GGCGGGNGUGGUGAAGUGGUUAACACACCAGAUUGUGGCUCUGGCAUGCGUGGGUUCGAUCCCCAUCACUCGCCU